GGGGAAUAUUGGACAAUGGGGGCAACCCUGAUCCAGCAAUGCCGCGUGUGUGAAGAAGGUCUUCGGAUUGUAAAGCACUUUCGACGGGGACGAUGAUGACGGUACCCGUAGAAGAAGCCCCGGCUAACUUCGUGCCAGCAGCCGCGGUAAUACGAAGGGGGCUAGCGUUGCUCGGAAUGACUGGGCGUAAAGGGCGUGUAGGCGGUUUACACAGUCAGAUGUGAAAUCCCCGGGCUUAACCUGGGAGCUGCAUUUGAUACGUGUAGACUAGAGUGUGAGAGAGGGUUGUGGAAUUCCCAGUGUAGAGGUGAAAUUCGUAGAUAUUGGGAAGAACACCGGUGGCGAAGGCGGCAACCUGGCUCAUGACUGACGCUGAGGCGCGAAAGCGUGGGGAGCAAACAGGAUUAGAUACCCUGGUAGUCCACGCCUG
rnacentral:rRNA from 1 species